GGAGACGUGGCCGAGAGGUCGAAGGCAAUCCCCUGCUAAGGGAUCAUCUAGGUCAAAAUCUGGAUCGAGGGUUCGAAUCCCUCCGUCUCCGCCA
rnacentral:tRNA from 1 species